AUUGAACGCUGGCGGCAUGCCUUACACAUGCAAGUCGAACGGCAGCACGGGAGCUUGCUCCUGGUGGCGAGUGGCGAACGGGUGAGUGAUACAUCGGAACGUACCCUGAAGUGGGGGAUAACGUAGCGAAAGUUACGCUAAUACCGCAUAUUCUGUGAGCAGGAAAGAGGGGGAUCGCAAGACCUCUUGCUUUAGGAGCGGCCGAUGUCGGAUUAGCUAGUUGGUGAGGUAAAGGCUCACCAAGGCGACGAUCCGUAGCGGGUCUGAGAGGAUGAUCCGCCACACUGGGACUGAGACACGGCCCAGACUCCUACGGGAGGCAGCAGUGGGGAAUUUUGGACAAUGGGCGCAAGCCUGAUCCAGCCAUGCCGCGUGAGUGAAGAAGGCCUCGGGUU
rnacentral:rRNA from 1 species